rnacentral:rRNA from 1 species
GAUCUGGCUCAGGACGAACGCUGGCGGCGUGCUUAACACAUGCAAGUCGAACGGAGCACCCUUGACUGAGGUUUCGGCCAAAUGAUAGGAAUGCUUAGUGGCGGACUGGUGAGUAACGCGUGAGGAACCUGCCUUUCAGAGGGGGACAACAGUUGGAAACGACUGCUAAUACCGCAUGAUGCGUAACUGGGACAUCCCGGAUACGCCAAAGAUUUUAUCGCUGAAAGAUGGCCUCGCGU